CCUACGGGGUGCUGCAGUGAGGAAUUUUGGUCAAUGGCCGGAAGGCUGAACCAGCCAAGCCGCAUGAGGGAGUACUGCGCAGAGCGUCGCAGACCUCUUUUGCCGGGGGUCAAAAGCCCGGCCUCGUCCGGUCCUGAGGGUCCCCGGAGAAAAAGCAUCGGCUAACCCCUUCCCAGCAGCCGCGUUAAUACGGAGGAUGCGAGCGUUAUCCGGAUUCUUUGGGUUUAAAGGGUGCGCAGGCGGGCCUUUAAGCCGGCGUUGAAAUCGCGGGGCUCAACCCCGCCGAGCCGUGGAACCUGGGGGCCUUGAGUGCGGCGGAGGCAUGCGGAAUGCGCGGUGUAGCGGUGAAAUGCAUAGAUAUCGCGCAGAACCCCGAUUGCGAAGGCAGCGUGCCGUGCCGCAACUGACGCUGAGGCACGAAAGCGCGGGGAUCGAACAGGAUUAGAUACCCUUGUAGUC
rnacentral:rRNA from 1 species